rnacentral:rRNA from 1 species
AGUUAUGGUGCCCGGCCCGGUUAACCCCUUCAGGGGGGGAGCCCCAGCGAAAGCGAGUCUGAACAGGGCGACAUGUCGGGCGCCAUAGACGCGAAAGCAGGUGAACUACCCAUGGGCAGGCUGAAGCGGCCGUAACAGGCCGUGGAGGGCCGAACCCACCAGUGUUGAAAAACUGGGGGAGGACCCGUGGGGAGGAGUCAAAGUCUCAUCAAACCUGCAGAUAGCUCGUUCUCUCCGAAAUGGCUUUAGGGCCAGCCUCGGGACACUAACGCGCGGGGGUAGAGCGACGGAAUCCGGUCGGGGCCCUCCCCGGGUACCCACCGGAACCCAACUCCGAAUACCGCGCGUCGUACCCCGGGAGUCAGAGCGCGGGGGAUAAGCUUCGCGCUCGAGAGGGAAACAACCCAGACCGCCGACCAAGGCCCCCAAGACGACGCUCAGUGGCAAAGGAAGUGGGACCGCGGUGACAGCCGGGAUGUUGGCUUAGAAGCAGCCACCAUUUCAAAAGUGCGUAACAGCUUACCGGUCGAGCCGUCCCGCGCCGAAAAUGACGGGGACUCAAGCGUCGCGCCGCAGUCGCGGGCUAGCAAUAGCGGUAGGAGAGCGUCGAUGCAGCGUCGAAGCGGCACCGGCAAGGAGCCGUGGAGCGGCAUCGAGUGCGUAUGCCGGAACGAGUAACGACAAGAGGGGUGGGAAGCCCCUCCGCCGAAAGCACAAGGUUUCCUGGGGAAGGUCAAUCCGCCCAGGGUCAGUCGGGUCCUAAGGCGAGGCCCAGGGGCGUAGCCGAUGGGCAGCGGGUUAAUAUUCCCGCACCCGGUGUGUAGGUUGAACCAGGCAGGACGCCGGCACGAGACGGAUCGGGGCGCUAGACACCCCCGUCCCGCAAGGGCGACGGCACUUCGAUCCGGAAGUCCGUCGACAUGCCGGCCGCGAAAAGCCGCCUGGGGACGAAUCACCGGCCCGUACCGCAAUCCGACACAGGUGUGCCAGGCGAGCAUCCGAAGGCGUUCGGGAGAACCCUCGUGAAGGAACUCGGCAAAAUGACCCCGUACCCUCGGUACAAGGGGUGCUCAGGGUAACCUGAGCCGCAGAGAAUCGGCUCUAGCGACUGUUUAUCAAAAACACAGGACUCUGCCAACUCGCAAGAGGACGUAUAGAGUCUGACGCCUGCUCGGUGUCGGUAGGUUAAGGGAGCCGGUGAGGGCAACCGAAGCUGGCGACCGAAGCCCCGAUAAACGGCGGCCGUAACUAUGACGGUCCUAAGGUAGCGAAGUUCCUUGUCGGGUAAGUUCCGACCUGCAUGAAUGGCGUAACGACUGGAGCACUGUCUCCACGAGGGACCCGGUGAAACUGUAGCCGUGGUGAAGAUGCCACGUACCCGCGGUCAGACGGAAAGACCCCGUGAACCUUUACUGCAGGUUGGCACUGGGCGAGCGUUGUCUCUGUGUAGCAUAGGUGGGAGGCAUCGAUCCGGCGGCGCCAGCCGUCGGGGAGCCACCGGUGAAAUACCACCCUGAGUCCGCGCCCGUCCUCACCGACGCGCAUCCCGCGUCGGGACCGUGCUCAUCGGGCAGUUUGACUGGGGCGGUCUCCUCCCAAACGGUAACGGAGGAGCGCAACGGUGCCCUCGGCCCGGUCGGCAAUCGGGCAACGCGAGCGCAAACGUACAAGGGCGCCUGACUGCGAGACCCAUCGGUCGAGCAGGGACGAAAGUCGGCGUUAGUGAUCCGGCGGUCCGGUAUGGAACGGCCGUCGCUCAACGGAUAAAAGGUACUCCGGGGAUAACAGGCUGAUCUCCCCCGAGCGUCCAUAGCGGCGGGGAGGGUUG